CCUACGGGAGGCAGCAGUGAGGAAUAUUGGUCAAUGGACGAGAGUCUGAACCAGCCAAGUAGCGUGAAGGAUGACUGCCCUAUGGGUUGUAAACUUCUUUUAUAUGGGAAUAAAAUGUUCCACGUGUGGGAUUUUGUAUGUACCAUAUGAAUAAGGAUCGGCUAACUCCGUGCCAGCAGCCGCGGUAAUACGGAGGAUCCGAGCGUUAUCCGGAUUUAUUGGGUUUAAAGGGAGCGUAGGUGGAGUGUUAAGUUAGUUGUGAAAGUUUGCGGCUCAACCGUAAAAUUGCAGUUGAAACUGGCAGUCUUGAGUACAGUAGAGGUGGGCGGAAUUCGUGGUGUAGCGGUGAAAUGCUUAGAUAUCACGAAGAACUCCGAUUGCGAAGGCAGUUCACUGGACUGCAACUGACACUGAGGCUCGAAAGUGUGGGUAUCAAACAGGAUUAGAUACCCGUGUAGUC
rnacentral:rRNA from 1 species